UGAGGGGGAAUGCCUGCAGUUAAAAUGAUGCUUUCAUUAACUGGAAUAAAAUUCCCCUUCCUCCCUUCCUCCCUCCCUCCUACUCGUGUCUCUCCUCCUCUUCCUCCCACAGCUGGCCCUAAGACAGUGUGUGACGUGCAACAUCCCACCGGUGGGAUAAAAGAAGCGGACCGAGUCCACCUCCCAUCCUGGUGGCCAGACGAGAACCCCCCAUCUGCACAUUUUUGUGCUGGGUCUGCAGACCCCACCCGUGGCUAUUUUUAAAUAGUCUAUUGCUGCAAAAACCCACAAUCCAAAUAGCUAAGUUCCUGCGGAGGAGUUCUGCCUCAUCCUCCACCAGCUGCAGCUGCUGCCUUAGUUCGGACAAAGCCUCGCCUUGCUCCCUGCUCUGCUGGCUGCCGCCGCCACUGCCAUCCCCUCCUGCUGCCAGACUAGAAAAUACAGUUCAGCCUUCAGUCCUCUGUUCUCCACCUCCAGCUCCACAAUCUUCCUCCCCAGGAUGUUUGCCUCCUCUUCCACCAGGCGCAAGCG